rnacentral:rRNA from 1 species
CCUACGGUGGGCAGCAGUGAGGAAUAUUGGUCAAUGGGCGCGAGCCUGAACCAGCCAAGUAGCGUGAAGGAUGACUGCCCUACGGGUUGUAAACUUCUUUUAUAAAGGAAUAAAGUGAGGCACGUUUGCCUUUUUGUCUGUACUUUAUUAAUAAGGAUCGGCUAACUCCGUGCCAGCUGCCGCGGUAAUACGGAGGAUCCGAGCGUUAUCCGGAUUUAUUGGGUUUAAAGGGAGCGUAGAUGGGUUGUUAAGUCAGUUGUGAAAGUUUGGGGCUCAACCGUAAAAUUGCACUUGAUACUGGCAGUCUUGAGUACAGUUGAGGUAGGCGGAAUUCGUGGUGUAGCGGUGAAAUGCUUAGAUAUCACGAAGAACUCCGAUUGCGAAGGCAGCUUACUAAACUGCCACUGACAUUGAUGCACGAAAGUGUGGGUAUCAAACAGGAUUAGAUACCCGAGUAGUC